rnacentral:rRNA from 1 species
GAGUUUGAUCAUGGCUCAGAUUGAACGCUGGCGGCAGGCCUAACACAUGCAAGUCGAACGGUAACAGGAAACAGCUUGCUGUUUCGCUGACGAGUGGCGGACGGGUGAGUAAUGUCUGGGAAACUGCCUGAUGGAGGGGGAUAACUACUGGAAACGGUAGCUAAUACCGCAUAACGUCGCAAGACCAAAGAGGGGGACCUUCGGGCCUCUUGCCAUCAGAUGUGCCCAGAUGGGAUUAGCUAGUAGGUGGGGUAACGGCUCACCUAGGCGACGAUCCCUAGCUGGUCUGAGAGGAUGACCAGCCACACUGGAACUGAGACACGGUCCAGACUCCUACGGGAGGCAGCAGUGGGGAAUAUUGCACAAUGGGCGCAAGCCUGAUGCAGCCAUGCCGCGUGUAUGAAGAAGGCCUUCGGGUUGUAAAGUACUUUCAGCGGGGAGGAAGGGAGUAAAGUUAAUACCUUUGCUCAUUGACGUUACCCGCAGAAGAAGCACCGGCUAACUCCGUGCCAGCAGCCGCGGUAAUACGGAGGGUGCAAGCGUUAAUCGGAAUUACUGGGCGUAAAGCGCACGCAGGCGGUUUGUUAAGUCAGAUGUGAAAUCCCCGGGCUCAACCAGGGAACUGCAUCUGAUACUGGCAAGCUUGAGUCUCGUAGAGGGGGGUAGAAUUCCAGGUGUAGCGGUGAAAUGCGUAGAGAUCUGGAGGAAUACCGGUGGCGAAGGCGGCCCCCUGGACGAAGACUGACGCUCAGGUGCGAAAGCGUGGGGAGCAAACAGGAUUAGAUACCCUGGUAGUCCACGCCGUAAACGAUGUCGACUUGGAGGUUGUGCCCUUGAGGCGUGGCUUCCGGAGCUAACGCGUUAAGUCGACCGCCUGGGGAGUACGGCCGCAAGGUUAAAACUCAAAUGAAUUGACGGGGGCCCGCACAAGCGGUGGAGCAUGUGGUUUAAUUCGAUGCAACGCGAAGAACCUUACCUGGUCUUGACAUCCACGGAAGUUUUCAGAGAUGAGAAUGUGCCUUCGGGAACCGUGAGACAGGUGCUGCAUGGCUGUCGUCAGCUCGUGUUGUGAAAUGUUGGGUUAAGUCCCGCAACGAGCGCAACCCUUAUCCUUUGUUGCCAGCGGUCCGGCCGGGAACUCAAAGGAGACUGCCAGUGAUAAACUGGAGGAAGGUGGGGAUGACGUCAAGUCAUCAUGGCCCUUACGACCAGGGCUACACACGUGCUACAAUGGCGCAUACAAAGAGAAGCGACCUCGCGAGAGCAAGCGGACCUCAUAAAGUGCGUCGUAGUCCGGAUUGGAGUCUGCAACUCGACUCCAUGAAGUCGGAAUCGCUAGUAAUCGUGGAUCAGAAUGCCACGGUGAAUACGUUCCCGGGCCUUGUACACACCGCCCGUCACACCAUGGGAGUGGGUUGCAAAAGAAGUAGGUAGCUUAACCUUCGGGAGGGCGCUUACCACUUUGUGAUUCAUGACUGGGGUGAAGUCGUAACAAGGUAACCGUAGGGGAACCUGCGGUUG